AGUUUGAUAAAUGAGACACCAGGACAUUCUUACUUGGUGUCAUCAGCAACUUCCACCUCUGCGUUGGCUGUGAUUGGUGCGUUGGAGUGUCCAGCAGUGGG